AUGGCCAAGUUUCUUCCUUCAUUUUCUUUCAACCUCAACCACAUUCAUGACAUACCUAGAGUAUACCAUACCGAAAAGUCCUGCAACCAAUUUACAGGCUUCCUUUCACUUACAAAUUCCAAGGCAAUUGAACAGACCUGCAUCUGUACAUCAGGAGCAAACCACAUUGCCCUGCAUUUAAUUAAACAUAACCCAGAUAAACUUUAUUGCAACCUGGUACUAAAACCAGUUCGCACCUAUUUCAAUCCAUGA